rnacentral:tRNA from 1 species
UUACUACUUUGGCAGAUUAGUGUGGUAAAUUUAGAAUUUAUUUAUGUAAAUUUUUUUUUACAGGUAAUU